rnacentral:rRNA from 1 species
GGCGGCUUCCGGGAUUAUUGGGCGUAAGAGCUCGUAGGCGGUUUGUCGCGUCUGCCGUGAAAGUCCGGGGCUCAACUCCGGAUCUGCGGUGGGUACGGGCAGACUAGAGUGAUGUAGGGGAGACUGGAAUUCCUGGUGUAGCGGUGAAAUGCGCAGAUAUCAGGAGGAACACCGAUGGCGAAGGCAGGUCUCUGGGCAUUAACUGACGCUGAGGAGCGAAAGCAUGGGGAGCGAACAGGAUUAGAUACCCUGGUAGUCCAUGCCGUAAACGUUGGGCACUAGGUGUGGGGGACAUUCCACGUUUUCCGCGCCGUAGCUAACGCAUUAAGUGCCCCGCCUGGGGAGUACGGCCGCAAGGCUAAAACUCAAAGGAAUUGACGGGGGCCCGCACAAGCGGCGGAGCAUGCGGAUUAAUUCGAUGCAACGCGAAGAACCUUACCAAGGCUUGACAUGGACCGGACCGGGCUGGAAACAGUCCUUCCCCUUUGGGGCCGGUUCACAGGUGGUGCAUGGUUGUCGUCAGCUCGUGUCGUGAGAUGUUGGGUUAAGUCCCGCAACGAGCGCAACCCUCGUUCCAUGUUGCCAGCGCGUAAUGGCGGGGACUCAUGGGAGACUGCCGGGGUCAACUCGGAGGAAGGUGGGGACGACGUCAAAUCAUCAUGCCCCUUAUGUCUUGGGCUUCACGCAUGCUACAAUGGCCGGUACAAAGGGUUGCGAUACUGUGAGGUGGAGCUAAUCCCAAAAAGCCGGUCUCAGUUCGGAUUGGGGUCUGCAACUCGACCCCAUGAAGUCGGAGUCGCUAGUAAUCGCAGAUCAGCAACGCUGCGGUGAAUACGUUCCCGGGCCUUGUACACACCGCCCGUCAAGUCACGAAAGUUGGUAACACCCGAAGCCGGUGGCCUAACCCCUUGUGGGAGGGAGCUGUCGAAGGUGGGACUGGCGAUUGGGACUAAGUCGUAACAAGGUAACC